AAAAUGAAAAUUUUUUAAAUUUUUUUAAACACAAUUACCAACUAACCCUCCAAACCUAAUCAAUUUUCAAAACGUGACCGUAAGAAUAAUAAAUAACGAAACCCUUUCUCACAUCCUUCCUUGCCUCCUCUUCGUACAUCCGCCGAUGUGGUGAGCGCCUUCUUCACAGAACACGCACACACACACAAAGAAAAGAAUAGAGAGAGAGAGAGAUGAAGUUCAAGGCAUUUGUGACUGAGAAUGGCGUAAGUCUGUUGGACAGGAGAUUCCUGCCUGCCUUGGAUAAAAUGGGAAAGAUUUGCCAUCUUUUCCUCACCAGAGAGCACGCCUUCUUCCUCCACAACCUCCUUACCACCCCGGACGGCAUCCAAUCCAUCGCUCAGUUCCGCAAACAAGCUCUCUUCGACGACUAUCGUAUUUCCAGCCAGAAUGAAGACCGCAUUGCGUUCGCCUUUGACAUCUCCCUCCUUCUUCGCGCUGUUCGUAGCAGUGUCAGUAUUAUUUCCAGUGAAUCUGGGGGUGCGAAUCGGCUUCAGGUUAAAUUGGUGAAGAAGCUGCCUCCUAAUUCUACUCAGCCAAUGCCCUUUCUUACCUUUGAGACAAAGGGUUAUAAGUCUGCUGUUAUUCAAGAUGUUCCCAUUUCCAAGCCUCUGUCUAGGGAUCAACUUCUGCAACUUCAAGCUGCUCUUGACGCUGCCCAAGAUCUUCCUCGGACUCUGGUUCAGGUUCCUGAUUUGAAUCGGCUGCAGAACUUUGUUGAUCGCAUGAAGCAUGUUGGUGAUCUUCUGAAUGUUUCUAUAAGCAAGUACGGGGAUCUUCACCUGCAGAUUUCAACUACCUUGAUCACACUUGGUGCUGAGUUUCGCAAGCUGUUGGUUGUUGGAGAUAAAGCCCAAGCCCCAGAUGAGGAUCGAGAUUUAAGUGCGCAGACUCGAUCAGAGAGGGCGAUUUUGAUGGGAGAUGCUCAGUCUGUGCAGGUCAGUGUAAGACACUUUUCUAAGAGUCUACAGUGUCACUUGGCCAAGCCGGAUUGUGCUUUCUAUGGGAUUGCCCCUCAGGGUGCUUGUUUGACUGUGAUAUUCCAGUUCUUCAUUCCCGGAACUCGUCAAACUGAUAAAUCUAUCAGUCUACAUUGUAGGCUUCCUGUCCUUGACCCAGGGUCAAGCUGAAGUUCCAUAGCUUCAAAUGAGAUGCCAUCAUUUGGCUUUGUUUGUCUAUAAUGAUAUUAGCUGACAUCUAGAUUUACUCAAGGGUGUCUCGCAUGUUGCUGGUUAUUUAGAAGGGUUUGAAUAACUCCCAACUGGCUAUGGUGAAUCAUGUUUUGUUGCAGUGAGGGAACAGAUGGUAAUUGAGCUUGAUGACAAGCGGAGUUGCUGAUGUUCGACAAGUAGUAGCAUGAGUAAGAGACACUUUUUUAUCCUGGGACUUUGCAAGGAGGAGGAGCAGGAGCAGCAAUGGUGGAUGUAACUGGUCACCGGCAACAAGUUCACGGACAAUGCCAUUCAUCUCUAUCAAGCUGCAACCUGGGGCUUUCUUGAAACUUGGUUCACUGUUUUUAUUUGCUUUUAAAGUUAUUAAGUUAAUUUACUAUACCAUAAAAAUAUGAAGAAGAUAAAUUUGUCCGAAUAUAAUAAAUUAAUGAAUCAUGUACACCAUCAACAAGGACAAUGAUUUUUGUAUAAAAUGGCAAAAUCAUUAUUAUAUUAUUCCAA